UUUUCCUACGGGACGCAGCAGUGGGGAAUAUUGCACAAUGGGGGAAACCCUGAUGCAGCAACGCCGCGUGAGUGAGGAAGUAUUUCGGUAUGUAAAGCUCUAUCAGCAGGGAAUAGAAAAGAAGGUACCUGAAAAAGAAGCCCCGGCUAACUACGUGCCAGCAGCCGCGGUAAUACGUAGGUGGCAAGCGUUGUCCGGAUUUACUGGGUGUAAAGGGCGUGUAGCCGGGCUGACAAGUCAGAUGUGAAAUUCCGGGGCUCAACCCCGGACCUGCAUUUGAAACUGUUGGUCUUGAGUAUCGGAGA
rnacentral:rRNA from 1 species